rnacentral:RNase_P_RNA from 1 species
CGAGUAAAACAUACGAUGGCGGGGAUGUGUGAAAGCACAUCCGUGAGGAAAGUCCGUGCUGCUCAGGACAUGGAUAGCUGAUAACGUCAGCCGAGGGCGACCUUAGAGAUAGUGCAACAGAGAUAUACCGCUGAAACUGCAUAACCUGCAGUUUUCAGUAAGGGUGGAAAGGUGAGGUAAGAGCUCACCAGCGGUGUGGAGACAUACCGGCUAUGUAAACCUUAUCCGCAGCAACUCCCGACAGCAGAGCAUAUGUAGUCCUGCAGCUCUCAGGAGGAGGCUUGAACUUUAUGGCAACAUAAAGUCUAGAUAGAUCAUCGUUUAAUACAGAACACGGCUUACGGUUUACUCGUAAC